rnacentral:tRNA from 1 species
GUAGACAUAAUUUAAUUAAAAUACUAGAUUGUGAUUCUGGAAAUAAAGGUUAAACUCCUUUUGUCAACC